rnacentral:rRNA from 1 species
AGAGUUUGAUCCUGGCUCAGGAUGAACGCUAGCGACAGGCUUAACACAUGCAAGUCGAGGGGCAUCACGGGUAGCAAUAUCUGGUGGCGACCGGCGGACGGGUGAGUAACGCGUAUGUAACCUACUUGUAAACGGGAGACAACCUGGAGAAAUUUGGGCUAAACUUCCAUGAGGCAUUAUUAUUGCAUGGUAAUAAUGUCAAACGUAAGGUUUACAGAUGGGCAUGCGUAUGAUUAGCUAGUUGGCAGGGUAAUAGCCUACCAAGGCAACGAUCAUUAGGGGUUCUGAGAGGAAGGUCCCCCACAUUGGAACUGAGAUACGGUCCAAACUCCUACGGGAGGCAGCAGUGAGGAAUAUUGGUCAAUGGACGAAAGUCUGAACCAGCCAAGUCGCGUGAAGGAAGAAGGUCUUACGGAUUGUAAACUUCUUUAGCAGGGGAAUAAAAGACGAUACGAGUUAUCGUGUUGAAAGUACUUUGCGAAAAAGGAUCGGCUAACUCCGUGCCAGCAGCCGCGGUAAUACGGAGGAUCCGAGCGUUAUCCGGAUUUAUUGGGUUUAAAGGGUGCGUAGGCGGAUUAUUAAGUCAGCGGUGAAAUUUUGCAGCUUAACUGUAAAAUUGCCGUUGAAACUGAUGAUCUUGAGGAUAGUCGAGGUAAGUGGAAUGUGUUGUGUAGCGGUGAAAUGCAUAGAUAUAACACAGAACACCGAUUGCGAAGGCAGCUUACUAGACUAUAACUGACGCUGAGGUACGAAAGCGUGGGGAGCAAACAGGAUUAGAUACCCUGGUAGUCCACGCUGUAAACGAUGAAUACUAGCUGUAUGCGAUAUACAGUAUGCGGCGGAGCGAAAGCAUUAAGUAUUCCACCUGGGGAGUACGUUCGCAAGAAUGAAACUCAAAGGAAUUGACGGGGGCCC